rnacentral:rRNA from 1 species
GACGAACGCUGGCGGCGUGCUUAACACAUGCAAGUCGAACGGAAAGGCCCUGCUUUUGUGGGGUGCUCGAGUGGCGAACGGGUGAGUAACACGUGAGUAACCUGCCCUUGACUUUGGGAUAACUUCAGGAAACUGGGGCUAAUACCGGAUAGGAGCUCCUGCUGCAUGGUGGGGGUUGGAAAGUUUCGGCGGUUGGGGAUGGACUCGCGGCUUAUCAGCUUGUUGGUGGGGUAGUGGCUUACCAAGGCUUUGACGGGUAGCCGGCCUGAGAGGGUGACCGGCAACAUUGGGACUGAGAUACGCCCCAGACUCCUAGGGGGGGCGACGGUGGGGAAUUUUGCACAAGGGGGGGAGGCCUGAUGCAGCACCGCCGCGUGCGGAAUGACGGCCUUCGGUUUGUAACCCGUUUUCGCCUGUGACGAAGCGGGAGUGACGGUAAUGGGUAAAGAAGCACCGGCUAACUACGUG